UCUAAAAUUGAAAGUUGAAUCUCAUGGUGAAAAAUUUCCAGAUCUUAAAGUUGUAGACAAAUUCGUAUACAUACGAACGGAUCCAUCAACAGGAGAUAAUCUUCAAGAUUCUCAUUGUUGGAAGCUUUGGGUACCGGAGAGACUGCGAGAAGCUGUGAUUUGUCAAGCACAUGAUAGUCUAAGCUCUGCACAUGGUGAAAUGCAAAAGACGAUCGAAAGAGUGCGUCGUAAUUUAUUUUGGCCAGGUUUAUCAAAAGACAUUAGAGACUAUAUUAGGCAGUGUGAUAUGUGUAAGCAAACUAAAGCUUCAAAUAUGACACUACGUCCGCCUAUGGGAGAGCAAAGCGUCUCUAGUCGACCAUUUCAAAAGCUUUAUAUAGAUAUCUUGGGUCCUUAUCCACGAAGUCGCAAAGGAAACAUUGGUUUACAAAUAGUUCUUGACCAUUUUAGUCGCUACCAUUGGCUAUGUCCAUUGAAAAAGUUCACUACGUCGUUAAUAACUGAGUUUUUGUCACAAAGGAUCUUUGCCGAAUUUGGAGUUCCUGAAAUUAUAGUAUCAGAUAAUGGUUCACAAUUUAAAUCAAACGAAUUUGAAGCGUUUAUGACAAAAUUCGGUAUUCGUCAUGUUUUUACUGCAUUAUAUUCGCCUCAGAGCAAUGCAGCGGAGCGAGUGAAUCGUUCCUUAUUAGCCGCUAUUCGUGCUUAUCUUAAGUCGGAUCAAACUGAAUGGGAUAUGUAUUUGCCAAGUAUUUCAUCUGCCUUACGUUCGUCGCUUCAUCAAUCCAUAGGUUGUUCCCCUUACAAAGCAUUAUUUGGAGUAAAUAUGAUUAAUCACGGAGAUGAUUACAAGCUCUUAAAAAAAUUGUCUUUGCUGGAGGAGUCUCCAUAUUUAGAAAGAGGUGAUCAAUUAGCUUUGUUGCGAGAAGACAUUAAGAAAAGUAGUAGAGAAGCCUACGAGCGUAACGCCAGACAAUACAAUCUUCGAUCCAAUCCUGUCAUUUAUAAAGAAGGCCAAGAAGUAUUUAAACGGAAUUUCCAUCUUAGUGAUUUCAGUCAGAAUUAUAAUAAAAAGCUAGGACAUCAGUUCUCAAAAUGUCGGAUAAAGAAGAAAAUUGGUAAUUCUUUUUAUCUACUAGAAAAUCUACAAGGUAGAGAAUUAGGAGUGUAUCAUGCGAAAGAUAUUCGAAUCUAAUUCCCAUCUAAUCUGCCUUUGUAUGACUCGUGAGAUUAUCUGGUGGGUGUAAUGGUCGCAAAUAAAAAAAUUGGGCGUAAAAUCUCUUUCUUCUUGAGAUUUUAAAUUUGCCGCGCAAAGUUAUCGAAGACACAAACCAUGGCACGAUAAAGGGACAAUACACCUCUGCCAAUUAAAUUUCCUCUCCGUGGUGAAUUGUCUAGCGAAAGAUCGUAGGAGAAGGAGGCGAGCUUUGUCACUUUGGCAACGACAGCUCUCAUUCUUUUCUUAUUGGACUACGAUCAGAGACGGAUGCAUUCUGGGUUGAUGCUGUUUAAAAAAAAAAAAAAUUUUAAACACAUGCAUCACCAGAAAAGAAGAAAUACAUAAUCUGUUAUUAUCAUCAGCAUCCAUCGAUGCUUUUUUGCCUUGAGCAAAAUAGAUACACCAGCUCGUUACGCUUGCUACGUAAAGAUUGUGAAAAUUCGUCUAAGCCGUCAUUAUUUUCUAAUUAAAUAAUACGGAUAGACAAAAUUCUACACCUAUAGUGGAUUUGAAUUCCACAAUUCCGGCGCAUGUUAGUCAGCGGAGGCCGACUAUUUCGUGCCGGAAGCCUUUUUAUAUUUCUGGUCUGCCGCCUGCAGAACCAAAAAAACAACAACAGUGAAGUGCAGUGCAUCUCUGGGCAGAUCACUCUUGCACCACUGUGCCGAGCCGCGCAAGGCUCUUGUACCAGAAUCGUCACUUCUCUCGUUUGCCGCUUCUAUCGUUCGCCGUCUCCACUCAGCAGCAGCAGCAUCAGCAGCAGUGCAGUGCCAGUGCCAGUGCUAGUGAAGAUGUGUAGUGCAAGUUUGUGAAUAAUAGUAUGACAAAAAAUAAGUUUGUUAAAAUUAAAAGGUCAUACAAUAGUUGUACACAGAGGCAAUAGUAAAAGGGGUAAAAGCCCAAAUAAAAAGCAAAAAGAUUUGCAUUUGCCGUCAAUAUAUUAAAACAAUUUAGUUGCCAUACAUAUAAAAUAAUAAGUAACGAAAAAGAUAACGAAAAGUAAAGAGAAAUAUCAAUUGUAAUUUGGCACUUAUUUUUUUUUGCGCUAUUUUUUUUGGUUUGCUUUGCUUUGUUGGCCAUUAUUGCCCUAGGCCUUAAAGGGUAUAUCCAACGUGAAACACAAUAAUUAAAAAAAAUAUAUAUAAAUAAAUAAAUAAUGCAAAUAUAAUCUCAUACAUAAUAACAAGCCACCAUAAAACCCUGUGCAAAACAAUAAUAAUUAUAACAAUGUGUGUGUAUGUGAACAACCAAACAAAAGAAUAUACCCUAUAAGGUAUAUAAACAAUCAUUUUUAUCAUCAUCAUUAAAAUCAUCAUCAUCAUCAACAUCAUCAUCACCAACAGCAACAACAUCAUGAAGGCCUUCGUCGUGGAGUUCUGUCGGGUAAGUUUUCAGUCCGAGUGUCCGAAAUAAAAAUACAUAAAAGAAGUUUUAUAACAUAAAUAUUCGUACAUAUGUAAUUACAUACAUACAUACAUACAUAUGUUGGUGCCUGUUCGGCCACGCAGCAGCUGCCCACAGUUUUGCUGGCAUUGUAUUUUUCAUACUUCUUCGCAGUUGCGAAAGCUCCCAAACAGCAUAUGAGCUGUCGGCUGAUACCCUAACUUUUGGGUCAGGCCUAUACCUUUUUAGUACUGAUUUGCUUCCGCCUAUAUUGUUACUAUUAUUAUUGUUUGUUGGUACAGCACAGUGGUUUAAACAUGAUUUACAAUUAAAUAAAU